GAGUAACAUCGCAAACAUAUUAUUCACCUGAGUACACAACACCAACACAGAAAAAUUCAAAAUCUCUUCAGUUUUUUGUGUGUAACUGCCAAAACUUGAUUCAUUUGCAAUAAACUUGUAUAAGUAUGGUUCGAUUUUAGUAAAAUACCGAUUUUUCUUGGGAUUUUUUUGGUUCUUCCGGUUUUUCUCCAAAAGUAACAUCGAGUAUUUCGGUUUUCAAAAACCAUAGUUUUUUUUCGGUUUACCGAAAAACCGCCUCACCCUUGCGUAUUGUCAUGUUUUGUGC